rnacentral:pre_miRNA from 1 species
AAAAAGACAAACCCUAGUUUCCGUGUUCAACGUUUGACCGUCCGUCUUAUUUGAAAAAAUUAUGAAAAAAAUUAAAAAGAUAAGUCACACAUAAAGUAUUAAUCAUGUUUUAUCAUAUAAGACGGAUAGUCAAACGUUGGCACGGAAAUCUAGGAUUUAUCUUUUU